CAAACUGUUCCCUCCCUGACAUAAUGCACCAAGACACGGGGUCUCUGGAGGGAACCCACCAUGUGUUCGUGCGAGCAUGUGUGCCAACACGAGAUUAAUGACGUUGAUAUUUCACAAGGUUUAAAAGCAACAAAUCACAACUGCACAGGGACCGCUGCAUAAACAACACAAUGACCGGACAGAGCCAAAGAGGCUGGGAUUUAAGGGACACUCCACAGAUACUUGAUGAGGCCAUCGAGGCUACAUUUGGACUAUGUGGACAAGAACAGAGUGUCAAGAACAUCCUUGAGCAGGUGGCUGAACAACAGAAGGAACUGUUGCAGAGGGCUGCACACAAACCUCUGGGGUAGACACCAGGGUCCAUGAAGGUCGCCAUGCUGAAGUUGGCCAAGACAAAGAGGAAGACAAAGCCAUUGUAGAGAGGGACGAUAGGUGAAAUCACCUUGGUCAACCAGGGGCACCUGAAGGAACAAAUAAAGCUCAAUUUCUUGGUUU